rnacentral:rRNA from 1 species
AGGAUGAACGCUGGCGGCGUGCCUAAUACAUGCAAGUCGAGCGAACGGACGAGAAGCUUGCUUCUCUGAUGUUAGCGGCGGACGGGUGAGUAACACGUGGAUAACCUACCUAUAAGACUGGGAUAACUUCGGGAAACCGGAGCUAAUACCGGAUAAUAUUUUGAACCGCAUGGUUCAAAAGUGAAAGACGGUCUUGCUGUCACUUAUAGAUGGAUCCGCGCUGCAUUAGCUAGUUGGUAAGGUAACGGCUUACCAAGGCAACGAUGCAUAGCCGACCUGAGAGGGUGAUCGGCCACACUGGAACUGAGACACGGUCCAGACUCCUACGGGAGGCUGCAGUAGGGAAUCUUCCGCAAUGGGCGAAAGCCUGACGGAGCAACGCCGCGUGAGUGAUGAAGGUCUUCGGAUCGUAAAACUCUGUUAUUAG